rnacentral:rRNA from 1 species
GAUGAACGCUGGCGGCGUGCUUAACACAUGCAAGUCGAACGGAGUUGAUAGGUGGAAGUCUUCGGAUGGAAGCUUAUCAACUUAGUGGCGGACGGGUGAGUAACGCGUGGGUAACCUGCCUUAUACAGGGGGAUAACAGUCGGAAACGGCUGCUAAUACCGCAUAAGCGCACAGCUUUGCAUGAAGCAGUGUGAAAAGAUUUAUCGGUAUAAGAUGGACCCGCGUCUGAUUAGCUAGUUGGUAGGGUAAUGGCCUACCAAGGCGACGAUCAGUAGCCGGCUUGAGAGAGUGACCGGCCACAUUGGGACUGAGACACGGCCCAAACUCCUACGGGAGGCAGCAGUGGGGAAUAUUGCACAAUGGGGGAAACCCUGAUGCAGCGACGCCGCGUGAGUGAAGAAGUAUUUCGGUAUGUAAAGCUCUAUCAGCAGGGACGAUAAUGACGGUACCUGACUAAGAAGCCCCGGCUAACUACGUG